UACGAAGGGGGCUAGCGUUGUUCGGAAUUACUGGGCGUAAAGCGUAUGCAGGCGGAUCGUUAAGUCGGGGGUGAAAGCCCGGGGCUCAACCCCGGAACUGCCUUUAAGACUGCAUCGCUUGAAUCCGGGAGAGGUGAGUGGAAUUCCGAGUGUAGAGGUGAAAUUCGUAGAUAUUCGGAAGAACACCAGUGGCGAAGGCGGCUCACUGGACCGGUAUUGACGCUGAGGUGCGAAAGCGUGGGGAGCAAACAGG
rnacentral:rRNA from 1 species